GGGUGAGUGUCUGAGUGGUUGAAGGAACCGGUUUUGAAAACCGGCAUGCUUGCGAAGGUAUCGGGGGUUCGAAUCCUCCCUCACCCG
rnacentral:tRNA from 1 species